rnacentral:rRNA from 1 species
GACGAACGCUGGCGGCGUGCUUAACACAUGCAAGUCGAACGGAAAGGCCCUGCUUUUGUGGGGUGCUCGAGUGGCGAACGGGUGAGUAACACGUGAGUAACCUGCCCUUGACUUUGGGAUAACUUCAGGAAACUGGGGCUAAUACCGGAUAGGAGCUCCUGCUGCAUGGUGGGGGGUGGAAAGUUUCGGCGGUUGGGGAUGGACUCGCGGCUUAUCAGCUUGUUGGUGGGGUAGUGGCUUACCAAGGCUUUGACGGGUAGCCGGCCUGAGAGGGUGACCGGCCACAUUGGGACUGAGCUACGGCCCGGACUCCUACGGGAGGCAGCAGUGGGGAAUAUUGCACAAUGGGCGGAAGCCUGAUGCAGCAACGCCGCGUGCGGGAUGACGGCCUUCGGGUUGUAAACCGCUUUCGCCUGUGACGAAGCGUGAGUGACGGUAAUGGGUAAAGAAGCACCGGCUAACUACGUG